GCACCUCGCUGGGGGAGCCCGGCAUGGCCGGCUGAGAGGAUUGGCGUGGAGCCAUCGACCCCUCUGACCUGACCUAGAUAAUGCUAGCGUAGGGAAGCGAAUCGCGCACAAG
rnacentral:ncRNA from 2 species